rnacentral:rRNA from 1 species
UACGGAGGGUGCAAGCGUUGCUCGGAAUCACUGGGCGUAAAGCGACCGCAGGCGGCCUGACAAGUCGGAUGUGAAAGCCCUGGGCUCAACUCAGGAAUUGCAUUCGAAACUGUCAGGCUCGAGUACGGGAGAGGGGGGUGGAAUUCCUGGUGUAGGGGUGAAAUUCGUUGAUAUCAGGAGGAACACCGGCGGCGAAGGCGGCCCCCUGGCCCGCAACUGACGCUCAUGGUCGAAAGCGUGGGGAGCAAACAGG